rnacentral:rRNA from 1 species
GGAGGGUGCGAGCGUUGCUCGGAAUCACUGGGCGUAAAGCGUACGCAGGCUGUCUCGUAAGUCGGGUGUGAAAGCCCGGGGCUCAACCCCGGAAUUGCGCCCGAGACUGCGGGGCUUGAAUGCGGGAGAGGGAAGCGGAAUUCCUGGUGUAGAGGUGAAAUUCGUAGAUAUCAGGAGGAACACCGGUGGCGAAAGCGGCUUCCUGGCCCGACAUUGACGCUCAUGUACGAGAGCGUGGGGAGCAAACAGGAUUAGAUACCCUGGUAGUCCACGCUGUAAACKAUGAGUGCUAGCUGCUGGGAAUGUCUACCGUCUCAGUGGCGAAGCUAACGCAUUAAGCACUCCGCCUGGGAAGUACGGCCGCAAGGCUA